UGGGGAAUAUUGGACAAUGGGGGCAACCCUGAUCCAGCGAUGCCGUGUGUGUGAAGAAGGCCUGCGGGUUGUAAAGCACUUUUGUUUAUGAGGAAAGGUCAUAGGUUAAGAGCUAAUGACUGUGACGUUAGUAGACGAAUAAGCACCGGCUAACUCUGUGCCAGCAGCCGCGGUAAUACAGAGGGUGCGAGCGUUAAUCGGAAUUACUGGGCGUAAAGGGCGUGUAGGCGGGGAUAUAAGUUAGACGUGAAAGUCCUGGGCUUAACCGAGGGAUUGCGUAUAAUACUGUAUUUCUAGAGUGGAAUAGAGGGUAGUGGAAUUUCCGGUGUAGCGGUGAAAUGCGUAGAUAUCGGAAGGAACACCAGUGGCGAAGGCGGCUACCUAGAUUCACACUGACGCUGAGGCGCGAAAGCGUGGGGAGCGAACAGGAUUAGAUACCCCGGUAGUCC
rnacentral:rRNA from 1 species